GACGAACGCUGGCGGCGUGCCUAAUACAUGCAAGUAGAACGCUGAAGGAGGAGCUUGCUUCUCUGGAUGAGUUGCGAACGGGUGAGUAACGCGUAGGUAACCUGCCUGGUAGCGGGGGAUAACUAUUGGAAACGAUAGCUAAUACCGCAUAAUAGUAGAUGUUGCAUGACAUUUGCUUAAAAGGUGCAAUUGCAUCACUACCAGAUGGACCUGCGUUGUAUUAGCUAGUUGGUGGGGUAACGGCUCACCAAGGCGACGAUACAUAGCCGACCUGAGAGGGUGAUCGGCCACACUGGGACUGAGACACGGCCCAGACUCCUACGGGAGGCAGCAGUAGGGAAUCUUCGGCAAUGGACGGAAGUCUGACCGAGCAACGCCGCGUGAGUGAAGAAGGUUUUCGGAUCGUAAAGCUCUGUUGUAAGAGAAGAACGGGUGUGAGAGUGGAAAGUUCACACUGUGACGGUACCUUACCAGAAAGGGACGGCUAACUACGUGC
rnacentral:rRNA from 1 species